rnacentral:rRNA from 1 species
CGAACGGGUGAGUAACGCGUGAGGAACCUGCCUCAAAGAGGGGGACAACAGUUGGAAACGACUGCUAAUACCGCAUAAGCCCACGGCUCGGCAUCGAGCAGAGGGAAAAGGAGCAAUCCGCUUUGAGAUGGCCUCGCGUCCGAUUAGCUAGUUGGUGAGGUAACGGCCCGCCAAGGCGACGAUCGGUAGCCGGACUGAGAGGUUGAACGGCCACAUUGGGACUGAGACACGGCCCAG